GGAGGAUUGGCCGAGAGGCAAGGCACCGGCUUGCUAAGCCGUGGUCGGGGUCAACCCCGCGCGCGUUCGAUCCGCGCAUCCUCCGCGA
rnacentral:tRNA from 1 species